rnacentral:misc_RNA from 1 species
GGCUAGAGUGUGUCAGAGGAGGUGGAAUUCCGCGUGCUCAGCAGUGAAAUGCGUAGAUAUGCGGAGGAACACCGAUGGCGAAGGCAGCCUCCUGGGAUAACACUGACGCUCCUUUUUAGCGGUAGAAGACAAACAAGUUAGAUACCCUGGUAGUCCACGCCCUAAACGAUGUCAACUGGCUGUUGGGGCCUUCGGGCCUUAAGUAGCGCAGCUAACGCGUGAAGUUGACCGCCUGGGAAGUACGGUCGCAAGAUUAAAACUCAAAAGGAAUUGACGGGGACCCGCACAAGCGGUGGAUGAUGUGGAUUAAUUCGGUAUGCAAAACCUUACCUACCCUUGUUAUGUCUGGAAUACAGAUUUGGCGAGAAGUGCUCGCCGAAACCGGAACACAGGUACCAUGGCUGUCGUCAGCUCGUGUCGUGAGAUGUUAGGUUAAGUCCUUUAACGAGCGCAACCCUUAUCGUGAAUUUGCUACGGGCACUCUAAUGAGACUGCCGGUGACAAACCGGAGGAAGGUGGGGAUGACGUCAAGUCCUCAUAGCCCUUAUGGGUAGGGCUUCACACGUCAUACAAUGGUCGGGACAGAGGGUCGCCAACCCGCGAGGGGGAGCCAAUCUAUGAAACGAUCGUAGUCGGAUCGCAGUCUGCAACUCGACUGCACGGCGCAAGUCGGAAUCGCUGGUAAUCGCGGAUCAGCAUGUCGCGGUGAAUACCGUCCCCGGAUGUGUACACACCGCCCGUCACACCAUGGGAGUGGGUUUUACCAGAAGUAGUUAGCCUAACCGCAAGAAGCGAUUACCACGGUAGGAUUCAUGACUGGGGUGAAGUCGUAACAAGGUAG